UUAAAAGAUAACAACUUAUUUUUACUUAACAUGAAAUUUAACAAAAUAAGAAUAAUUUUUAAAUUCUAUAAUCUUAAGUAAAAGAUAUACUAUCAAAUAUACUAAAAUAUUUCUUAAUCUCGUUGUCUUAGUCGUGUGGGAAAGUUGCAAUUAAAGAAUGGUUAAAAAGGAUUUUUUUUUCCAAUAGCCCAAAUAUAAAACACCAAAAAAAAAAAAAAAGAAGGAAACACUUGAAAACGAGAAAAACACUAUCGGAGAUAUGCUUGAUUAGGAAAUUGAAAUGCCAUUGGAGCACCACUAUUGAAGAAGACAACCGAGGAUGAUUGAUGAGCUAGCUUCUUGUCGCCAAAAUAUAGAAGAAACGCAAGUAAUCGUUGCCCCUAGCCACUGAUUUGACAUGAAAAAACAACUCAAAGAGAUUUCAUCCAAGACACUUACAAGUCUCACAAGUGCCAUGAAAUCAAUACCAAGGAAGAAUUCUUCAGCUCUUUGUUGGAUUUCAAGCCAAAUCUGCUUAUAUUAGAUUGAGCCUCGAGGCGAAGCUAAUACCACUGUUAAGAGAGUGGCUAUGAUGCAAGUUCAUGGUGUUCAAUUCGUUUAUGAAGCUGAUGAGCUGAGCUGGCAAUCAAGGAAUUAAGUAGGCAAGCAGUAAAAUAGCUAGGCAGUUACAGUUUGAAUUUUGCUAUUAGUGUAACUACUAACACUGUAGCAAUGAUAGUUAUUUCCAUUUUUAGUUAAGGUAGUUAGUAGUAAUUCCAUUCCAAUUUCAGUAUAUAAGCUGCAAUGUAAGAUACACAUACUUAUUACUGCAAUGUAAGAUACACAUACUUAUUACUGAUCA